rnacentral:rRNA from 1 species
GACGAAGGAUGCAAGCGUUAUCCGGAUUCAUUGGGUUUAAAGGGAGCGUAGGUGGCCUUAUAAGUCAGUGGUGAAAUCUCUGGGCUUAACCCAGAAAUUGCCAUUGAUACUGUAGGGCUUGAGUAUAGUCGCCGUUGGCGGAAUAUGACAUGUAGUGGUGAAAUACAUAGAGAUGUCAUAGAACACCGAUUGCGAAGGCAGCUAACGAAACUAUAACUGACACUGAGGCUCGAAAGUGCGGGGAUCAAACAGG